GAACUUUCGGUUUCGAGAGGAGACCGGCGGAUGGGUGAGUAACGCGUAGGUAAUCUGCCUUCAGGACGGGGAUAACCCACCGAAAGGUGAGCUAAUACCGGAUGAUGCAGCGGGGCCGCAUGGCCACAGUUGUUAAAUCCUUCGGGAGCCUGGAGAUGAACCUGCGUGCCAUUAGCUAGUUGGUAGGGUCAAAGCCUACCAAGGCGAUGAUGGCUAGGGGGUCUGAGAGGAUGAUCCCCCACACUGGGACUGAGACACGGCCCAGACUCCUACGGGAGGCAGCAGUGAGGAAUCUUGCGCAAUGGGGGCACCCUGACGCAGCCACGCCGCGUGCUGGAAGACGGCCCUAUGGGUUGUAAACAGCUUUUACUGGGGAAGAACCUGGACCUUUCGAGGACCACUGACGGUACCCAGUGAAUAAGCACCGGCUAACUCCGUGCCAGCAGCCGCGGUAAUACGGAGGGUGCAAGCGUUGUCCGGAAUCAUUGGGUGUAAAGGGUGUGCAGGCGGAAGUCUAAGUCGGAGGUGAAAUCUUGCCGCUUAACGGUAAAAGGGCCUUCGAAACUGGAUUUCUUGAGUUCGGAAGAGGUUGGUGGAAUUCGUGGUGUAGCGGUGAAAUGCAUAGAUAUCACGAA
rnacentral:rRNA from 1 species